GUAUUUCUAGGGUACACGUUACUCUUAGCUAUGUUCAACCGACUCAUCGAAUUUGGGAGCUUACGAUUAUGCAGCUAUCACGCCUCCUAGGAGAGGACGAUAAAAACAUGAUUUUUAAAGCACCCACCUGCUGGAUAGCGGGGUUUGAACAUAGCAGGAAAACGAUAAAAUGGAUGUACU
rnacentral:other from 1 species